UUUCAAAUGUCUUAUUGUCGGGUGUCUGUUAGUUGGAAGUGGGGAUCUAGGCACAGAAUUGCGUAAUUUUAAAACUGCAACUUCCAGAUAGUGCCAGAUCUAACUCUUCCAGCUCAUGGACAUUCGGAGUAUCUUCUCUUCAUUCU
rnacentral:precursor_RNA from 12 species